AUUUGUCAAAAAAUAAAUUAAGUGGCCAUGUACCACUUUCAUUUUGUAGUUUAAACAAACUUGAGCUCAUGGACUUAUCUUACAAUAACUUUAGUGGACCAAUUCCAUCAUGUCUUAUGGAAAGAGUUGACCUGAGCAUAUUGAAAAUAAGAGGAAAUAAAUUACAUGGCGUGCUACCUGAAAAUAUUAGAGAAGGAUGUAAGUUUCAGACAAUUGAUUUCAAUGAAAAUCAAAUUGAAGGUGCGCUACCUAGAUCACUAGCAAAUUGCCAAGACUUAGAGGUUCUUGAUGUUGGCAGUAAUCAUAUUGUAGAUUCAUUUCCAUCAUGGAUGGGUACUCUUCUGAAGCUUCGAAUUCUUGUGUUGAGAUCUAACCAACUCUAUGGCACUAUAAGGGAUCUUCCCAGGAGCUACCAACACUUCACAAGUUUGCAAAUAAUUGAUUUGGCCUCCAACCAUUUCUCUGGUGAUUUACAUUCCGAAUGGUUUGAGAAUUUUAUUUCAAUGAUGAAUAACAGCAAUGAUGAGGGGCAGAUAUUAGAGCACCAAACAAAUGCUACAAUGGCACCAUUGUAUCAAGAUACUGUCACUAUCACAUUCAAAGAUGCUGCUUUAAGCAUCACCAAAAUCCUUCCUGCUUUCAAAGUAAUUGAUUUGUCAAAUAACUCAUUUGAGGGUUCCAUUCCAAGUUCAAUUGGAAGGCUUGCUUCACUUCACGGACUUAACAUGUCGCACAAUAACUUCACGGGAGAAAUUCCAUCACAACUUGGGAACUUAACAAGGUUGGAAUCAAUGGAUCUCUCUUGCAACCAUCUCUCGGGAGAAAUUCCACAGGAGUUUGCCUCUCUAACUUCUCUUUCCUGGUUGAACCUUUCGUACAACAACUUGACAGGAAGAAUACCGCAGGGAAACCAAUUCUUGUCAUUUCCUAGCGGUUCGUUUGAAGGUAAUGCUGGCCUAUGUGGAAUUCAGCUUUCCAAGGAAUGUGACACUCGUCCAGAUUCAACCACCCCAAGCACAUUGGCUCCAGAACGCAAUACUUUGUGGCUGGAUAGACUUGAUGCCAUCAUUUUGUUCCUCUGUGCUGGCUUGGGCUUUGGCGUGGGUUUUGCAUUGGCAAUCAUAUUCGGUUCCUUUUGCCACAUAGAAGAAUGGCUUUGCAAGCAUUUAUAAUAGUAAUAUAAGUUUACUUAUUACUCUCUUAUUUUUUCAAUACUUCAACAUAAUACUCAUAUAGAUGUGUACUUAUGUUUGUCCAGUUAUGAUUGAUUUUUAAUUAGGAACUACUCUAUGCACGUUUUCAUCCACAUUCACACUUUUUCAUUUAUAUAGCACCUCCAUACAUUGUGUCUAGCAUCAAAAUUAAUAGUUUUCAUCACUUUCUCACAUACAUGUAUAAAUGGUCUACAUGGUGACACUCAUCAUGUCUAUAUACAUUAACUUAGUAAUUCUAUAUUAACAAUGACGUAAACUGGUGAUUUAGAAUCAUAUAUUAGUUUAUUUUUGGACAUUUCUACAUGAUGCACAUGCAUGACGAUAAUUAGAUUAAGAAUGAGGUGUUUACUUUAGAUUAUUUUUAAAAACGACAUAUAUGGGUAACUUAGAUACAAAUUUAGAAUGACAUUUUAAGUAAUGCUUUAUAAUGAUAGGCAUGAUUAAAUUGGAUGAAGAUCAUGCGUUUACUUUACUUUAUUUUUAUAAUGGCAGAGCUUAGUAAUUUAGAUAUAGGUUUAGAGUUUAUAAUGAUAGUGGUGGGUAACUGUUUUAGAAAAUAUAAUAAACCAAUGACUAUGAUUAAUAUAGUUUGCAUGAUUGAUAUUUGAUAUUUAUGAUUUUUGUGAGAAUUUCUAGGAUUUGUGUUUUUUUAGCGUAUCUCUUGAGAAUUAAUGCAGAGUCUCCAAUUGAAAAAAUAUGACCACAUUGCUACAAAACUAUUACCUUUAGCUACUUCUCAUUUGUUAAAUAUUCACACACAAUACUUAUAUAGAUAUAUAAUUAUUAUUUUCACCCGAUUGCGAUAGAAUUUAGUUGGUAAUUUCUCUUUAACAUUUUCAUCAACAUCUAUAAUUUUUAAUUUUUCACUUUGCAUCGCAGAUAUGCUCUUGAAUUUUUUUAAUGGAUUCUAAGUUUGAGCUAUCAUUUUAACAUAGAAAUUUAUAUUCUCAUCAUUUUCUCUAUAUCUUUAUAAAUGGUGAUACACAUCAUACCUAUAUACCUUAAUUAUUAUAUCAUAUACCUAUAGUGUAAGAAAUAGACGAUUUAGAAUCAUAUAUCGGUGUAUAUUUUAAUUAAGUGAUUUGGACUCAAAUGUAGGGUUACCUCAUGUUAUUUUUUUUAUAAUAGCACAUGUGUGUAAUAUAGAUGCAAAUUUAAAGGGGUCAUGUUAAGUUAUUUUUUAAGUAUUAGUGGUGGACAAUUUAGUUGCAAAUUUAGGAGGGUAUUUUAAAUAUUAUUUGUAAUUGUAUAAGUUACCCAUGCCCAGAUGAGUCCAUCCCAUGCCCAGAUGAGUCCGUUUCCUCCCGAUCCGUUUUAGUCGCCUGAACGGCAGCUCAUGUUCCUCGCGAAAAGAACGGAGCGACGAUGGCUCGUGGCGGCGCUCCAUGGCAGUGGCACAUCGUAAAGGUGGAGGAAGCAACCAACAUGGGGUUGAACUGAAACAUUUUCAUGAUUAUUCCUCUCUGUGAAGUUAGUCACCUUGCAAUUUGCAAGCUAGAAACAAUAUCAUUGCAAGCAUAAUAAGGUACAACAUCUGCAGUGUUUCUCAUGAAUGUGUGGAAUGGGCCGCCGGACACGAUGUCCACAAAACGGUCAGGAAUAAUGCACCAAGUAGCAAUGUGCGGGCGUCGUAUAUAGAGCAGGUUGGGUGUAACACCUUGAGUGUUAAUUUGGGCGGUUUCACCACAUUGGGAUUUGGAAAGUCCGGUGUCACUGCAGUCCACCUCGUCCGGUAGCACGAUUACACCUGCCUGACGAGGAGAUGGUGCCGCUACAUGUGCUAAGGACGUCGAGUUGUCGAGGUCCCGGCUAGACACGCGACUCUCUCUCCGUGCAGCUGUUUCCCUCACCAGUCGUUUCCCUCUCCGGGCAGUGGUGAUCUCACCCACCGGUGCAGCUCCAUGCCGCCAUUCCGCCCGCUGCCCACAGUGAUGGGAAACAAGACGAGCAGGGAAGAGGGCACCUCCAUUAUUGAUUCUGUCAGCCACUGAUAUUCUCUCACUACUAGGGAAAACGCCAUUAGUAUCGGUUGGGAACACCCCUUUAGUAUCGGUUUCGCAACUGGUACCGAUAGUUCGGUACUAGGGAUAUUAAAAAAUAAAAAAAUUGAACCCCCCACCAUCGGCCCCCGCCAGCCCCGGCCUCCCGUCGCCCUCCGCCUGCCCCCUACCGUUCCCCUCCUCCACUCCCGCCGCCACUACCGCUCUCGCCCGCCUGCCCGCCCGCCAUCGCCGCCGCUGAGAGAGAGAGGAUAAGCUGUGAGAGUUGUGACAAGCUAUGAGAGGAGAUGGGAGGAUAAGGCGCGGCCGGUAGUCGGGGGGGGGGGAGCGGUGGAUAAGGUGGUGGACGGAACCUUUUAGUACAGGGUGGAAGGUCCACCCGGUACUAACCCCCUUUAGUACCGGGUGGAGCUCCCAUCUGGUACUAAAGUGGGUCACGGAGAGUUUCUCGGGGAUUAUCCGAUAGACCUGGUAUUAAUGAUCACAUUAGUACCAGGUCAAAAUGCAACCAGUACUGAGUCGGGAUGAAUUCUCAGUUUUCUAGUAGUGUCUGUAUCCAAUCAAAUCCAAUCAUAUUGGCUGGGUAGUAGGAGUGGGCGAGCCGUGGCCCAAGAUUAUCCCACUGCUAAAAUAAUUAAGAAAAAACUAAUCUUGUUGCUUUGCAACGCGUCCUAAUUUUUAAAAAGGACCACAUGAGCAUUUCUCUUAUAAGUGGACUCUUAGGUAGUUUUACCUGGAGACUUUAAAAGGAGCCUCCAAUUAGUAAUAGUUACUGAAUUUUAUCAGCGAUUUUCAAAGAGAGUUUUUAUUGAGGUAAUAAGAAAAAGUUGUGAUAUCACUUAGGCCUCAAAGAAAGUUGUGAUACCACUCUCCUUCUAGUUUUCUUUAUAUUUUUUUUUGUUUCUCAUGUGUACUGCAUGAGCAAUAAAAUUUAGGUAUGGUCUCCCUCCCGACUUCUUCCUUUAAAAUUUGACAUCGAAGGGUGCGGAUUCUUCAUUUCAAGCGUUUCUUCUCAUUUUUGUUCGUUUUCUUUUCUUUUCCAAUUGCAGCUUAAUUUUCUUUUCAGCCCAUUCUUCUUUAUUUUAGGUGUGCGGAUUCUUUUCUUUUCUCUUUCUUCCCGUAUGCUCCUCUUGACCUUCAAUAUGCCUAACAUGUCACACAAUAACUUCAUGGGACAUAUUCCACCAGAACUUGGUAACCGUUGACGGUUCUUAUCCGAUCGUCAACUCUAAUAAACAACAAUAAAAUAACAAGAAUCAAACUAGAGAUAGAGAUUUAACUCUCAUCAUUUCCACAAGCUUGUGUGAAUCACUAUUGACAGGAGAUCGCGUCUCCAUGGGGGAAAACAUACUAAACCCAUGAAGAAACACACACUUCAGCCUAUCCUGAUAGAACAACACGUGACAAGAAGGGUCCACAUGACAUACCAAACUGCCUUAACUUGACGCGGGCCCAUUCUUUUUUAUUUCAGGUGUGCGGAUUCGGAUUCUUUUCUUUUCUUUUUCUUUCCAUAUGCUUCUCUUGACCUCUUGGUUUUUACUACUACAAUAUUACUACACUAGUGUGAUCAAGAAGUAUCUUGAAGCUUAGUUAUCUAUUAGUUAUACAUGACUUGUUACCUAGUUGUCAUAUAUGAGUUGUUAUCUAGUUGUCAUAUUAGUUGUGAUAGUUGUCAUAUAUGAGUUGUUAUCUAGUUGUCAUAUUAGUUGUGAGUGAGUUGUGUAAGACUUAUGAGCCUAUAAAUAGAGGCAAGCCUCGAGUUUGUAACUUGAUUUUGAUGUACCCACUACCUUAUGAAUAAUGAAUAGAACAUGUUCUACCCUUUAGAUCUUGAACUAGAUAUUGUACCCUAAGGGCUUUGGAUUAAAUUCUUGCUAUCCGUGGAUUCAGAUUCGACUUUUGAUCUAUCUUCGUCUCUAAAACGAUAUCCAGCUCAGCACGUUAAAAUGGUUCCUUCGACACUUUGUGCUGUUUCUACCUAUUAGCAUAUUGGAGAGGUUUCUUGAAUACUUAUGCUAUCUACUGUAACUUAGGGGGCGUUUGGAUACCAGGGACUAAACUUUAACCCUGUCACAUCGGAUGUUCGGAUGUUAAUUAGGAGGACUAAAUAUAAGCUAAUUACAAAACUAAUAGCAGAACCCCUAGGCUAAAUCACGAGACAAAUCUAUUAAGUCUAAUUAAUCCAUCAUUAACGAAUAGUUACUGUAGCACCACAUUGUCAAAUCAUGGACUAAUUAGAUUUAAUAGAUUCAUCUUGCGAUUUGACCUAGGGGUUGUGCAAUUAAUUUUAUAAUUAAUUUAUGUUUAAUACCCUUAAUUAGUGUCAAACAUCCGAUAUGACGUGCUAUCUCUCAAACACCCCCUUAAAAACCAAAAGGGAGAUUUUUUUUCGUGGUUCUCCUUCCGGUCCGCUCGAUGACCCUCGCUGCCGCGAGAGUUUUCUUCCGUGCGAUACAGCUGAUUUCCUUCCAGCCGUCCCUCCGCUCCUCCCCUCGCACGGCCUACGAAAAAAUCCCUCCGCUCACUCGCCCUGCGCCGUCCGUCCGCAUCCUCCUCUCGUCGCGCGCCUGCGCCGCCGCCGCCACCCGCCCUCCUACUCUCCUCCCGCGCCCGGGGCCGCCCGUCCUCCUCCUCCCUCUCCUCCGCCCUCCGCCAGUGGACUCCAUCCCCGCCGCCGCCAUGCGCCGCCACGCCGGAUCCGCCUCCGCUGCUUCGCUUGCGCCGCCGCCCGACACCGCGUGCCGUCCUCUGCCGUCUGGCCCGAGCCGCCGCUCCCGACCCCAUCCACCAGUGCUUUCGGCCCAGCCACUCGUGCCAAGCCGUCGGCAUCCAUAGGAAAGAUGGGAGAGGCAACAACACGGAGGCCUCCAUCGCCGCAAGCACGCGCCCUCAAGGUCUGGGUCAAGUCGACCUGAGUACGGUGAAGAUCCAGGUACGGGUUUCACAUGGCAGCCAGAUCCUCACAUCUCACCAUCAGGCAUCACAUGGCACCAUCAGGUCAUCGCCACCGCCUCUGCUUCCGCAUGCCCCAACCUAUGGUAUGACGGCAUCCGCGCAAGGGUGGUCGCCGCGGGCGCGUCGAGGAUGGAGAACAUGUGGGGAAAGUUGACGGCAGCACCCCUCCGUCCAGCUGAUUCGUCACCCCCUUCUUCCUUAACCGCCAAUAGCACAGGUGACCCUCUCCUCCAAUAUACAGGCUUGAACUUGUGAGCUGUUCUGUUUGUACGGACCUUUUCUUAUCAUGUUUGUCCUCCAAUAGACAGGCAAGAUUGAACUAUAUUAUUCUUGUUGCCAAAUGUAUGUCAAGCAGGCAAGCACAAACUGAAGUACCGAUGAGCUGACAAAUAAUUAAUUGCAUGUACAACUUUUCUGUUCUGAAACUCAUUUUGCUGUCUUUCCAGAUUGCGUGCUCAGGAAAUAAUUCCAAGGAUUACUUUGAUCGGCAUGGAGAUUUAAAGAGCAUCAGGAGACUCAAGUUAACCUUAUUUCUCUGCAAUAUAUCAGAUUGGAUAUUGGCACAUAUAUGAAUCAGGUUGGGUUGUCUGAACCUAGAAUCCCCUGCUUCUCAGACUCGAGGUAUACAUUAUUGCAUGUAAGAACAACAAUUGUCAAGUGUGGCAGUCAUAUUUUGAUAAUCUGUAUUUUUUGGAUGAUUGAAUUAUGAUGAAGUCUUCCACAUAGUAGUGAUGAAAAAUCUUCAGAUGUGAGGAUUUCAGGUUUAAAAGCUUCAAGGUUUAGGCUUUUCUCUUUAAAAUAAAUCUUUGGCCUCAAAUUCAUAAUAUUGGUAAAGACGUAAAGUUUAGGGUAUGCAGACUCAAAAUUCUUGCAUUAGAAAUUUACUUGACUCGGAAUAUUUUGUGACUUGUGGUUUAGAUUGCUAUCAGUUAAGGGGGAAGAAAUGGUUUUAAGAGAACUUCCCCCAGAAUGUUGUAACUUCGAUUCAAUACAUAGGAGUGCCUCCAUGAAAUGGUAUCUCCAGCUUGCAUAAUUUUCUUUUGGUAGUAUGGCUGUUGAUGUCUUAAUCGAUUCUACUAAUUCUCAGUGUUUUACUUGACUUAUAUAUCUUGCUUUUUUUGGGAAGCAACAUGGUAUGCAAUCGCAAUGUAGAUAUUAACUGGAAAACAUUGUUGAUAGAAUUCAGCCAGAAUCUCCUCAUAUUGUGCUAGGUUACAUUGUUGGAUUAGCUGUAGUGUAUUCAUUUAUUCUCACUACCAUUUCAUCACCUUUGUGAUAUCUAAAUUGUUAAUUAAUCAGAUUAAUCAAGGGAGCUACAUGCUAUGCAUUUUUAAUGAAGAUUUAAUGACUACAAUUUUGAGUUUUUGACUAUUUUGUUGUUUCACAGGGAACUGGAACUUUUAUAAUAUCUCUUCUCCAUAUGAAUUAUUUGAGUACCACAAUGCUAUUGCAAUUUUGUCUCCUGCACUCAUGACUUCCACUUGGUAGCUUUUGGGUUCCUUAUUAAUUUGUUAAUUCUAUGUAUCUGCUGGAGGCACACACUAACUGACACUAACUGACGAUGCGGCUCCAGUAUGUUAUCAAUGGUAGCUGCUGAAUGCACACACUCUGUGCUAAUUUUCUAAUUAUAUUCCUGUCCAUCUGUUGGAGCUGGAGCUAUCAUAUCUGAUACUUAGGAAGACGAAUAAGCAAUAAAAGAUUUUAUUCUUAUGUGGUAAGUUUCUACAAUUCCAUAGAUAUGUCUACUCGCAGCUUGAUUCUGCGUAUUAGUUGGUGUCAACACCGAACAGUCCAUAUUAUGCUGCUUUUGACAAUUUAUUGUCACUUCAUAAUCAUGGUGGCUUUCUCUGAAGUUGGAGGUUCAGGUGGUACUCCUAGACAGAAUCCAACUGAGCCAAACUCCUCGAAAACAAUAUUGUUGGCAAGGGUAUGCAUCUGCCUAUCAGAUUUCAUUUUCUUGGUUCUUUCUCGUUUUCAUAUGUGAUAACAUAGUAAAUAAUUCUCUACAGAGGUGCCAUCAAUCCCACAAGGGGCGGUGCUGCUGGUCAUCCUCACCAGGGCUGAUUCCGCCUCCGCGUUCAUGCUGGCCACCACGCAGCAAGGUGAGGGUGCUGCCAGCGAUGCCCGUGUUGUGUUCGACAGAUUGUGUCAGCUUGUCAAUUGGAUCAAUUUCUUUGUUUUUGGUAAGUAAGCCCAGCGUUAGAUAAUUUGCAGUUGUGCAAACAGAUUCAUGUAGCCUUAAAAUAUGGAGGCGUUUCUAAAGAACCCAUGCUGCUCCACUGCCGACAAAUGACCGCUUCAGGUCUGUUCAUGAUAAUACUGUAACUUCUUAUCUGUAUGACUUUUUAUUGUUAAAUAUGGGAAGAUAGAUACACGUAUUCUAUUUAACAUACGGAUAUGAGAUGCUAGAUACAUGGUGGUGAACUUGAGUGCUUUUUUUUAAAGAAUGCUAUAUGAUGUGUUGGGGUUUGGUACAACAGUUGGUUUCUUUUUUUGGUUUGCCUUAUUUCUUUAUCUUGAAGUAAACUUUUGCCACUGAUUACAUGCCUUUUUUUCUCUUUACCCAUGUGGUACUUUCCUCUUUUGGGUGUUUGAAGAGAACGAUUUUCAGGAAAAUAAGUCUUGUCAACAAUAAUGACAGCCAGCUGUGUUCCACUAUAUCUCGGAAAUUUAAUUUUCACAUUAAGGAUUCUGAUCUCUUGCAAUGCUCUAGCUAGCUCUGUGAAGACAGAUGCCAUUAAUUUCGUUGUUUCAUGACUGUAGAGCUAAUGGCUCAUAUGUAUGGAUCAAGGAAAUUUAAUUGGAAUUGACUUCUUGAAAAUUUGAAGUUCUUUUAUAUAUCUAUGUAUUGCACUUUGCUAAAUCUAAUAUGAAUAUAGAAUUCUUAUUUACUAAGUUACUUAUAAAAACGUGCCUGACAUAACUCUAAGGUUAAUUUGAUUGAGUUUGGCUUUUUGAUUCAAAUAAUGUAGGUUUAUAUGUGGUGCAUCCAUCUUUAUCACUUAUGGAUAAUAUAAUAAUAAUAAUAAUAAUAAUGUACAAAACGAGGGUGAAAAAGGACAAUGGAGAAGACACUCGGGGGGACAAAGGAGAAGACACUCGGGCCGCAUUAGAGGGGAAGAUUAGCAAAGGUAAAAAAGACAAAAGCACCAGAGCUGCAUCUUAUUUUCUUCGCGAGAACUUAAAAGGGAUGAAAGUAAUUGUGCAUCCAUCUAAAUUUAAUAUGAAUAUAAAAUUCUUAUCUACUGUUUUUCAAAAACAAGUGUGUGUCCCACGUGCACUCAGAACAUUAUGUAGCUAUAAGAUCAGGUAGAUUGCGAUGCAUAUGGACCACAGCCAUAAGGAUACAUUUUGCACUACCACCAUACUCACACAUGCAUUUCAGGUACUUGACGUUAUUAGCUCUACGAAGUAAAAGUCCUUCACCUAGAACUGUAUGCUGAAAUCGUCAUACCAUACCUCUCAUACAUCCAUGUGGUUUGGAUUGUGGACUGACCAACACAUCAGCCGCUAUUAGCCAUUGGUGUUUUGACAGCACUCCAACUUGAUAGCAACUGAAACUGAAAGUCGGCCAAGGUGCUGGUUGUAUCUCAGCACCACUAUGAAGGUACUGGCUACAAACAACCAAGUUCUUACAUACAUCAGGUGAGUUUGUGUUUUCCUCUUAUUUUAGAUUCAGAGCUUUUAGUAUGUAAAUGAAGCAUUUUUACCAUUAACUUUUGCAUCCUAGAUGGUUCUAUGUAUAUUCUCCCAUCCAAUAGAUUCUGUUAUUUGUAUAAAAGGUGAAAUAUCUGAUCCUACACUUAUAUUACAAGCACGCUUAUUACCCUGCAUGGGAGGGAGGAAAAUGGUUCUAGCUUGGUCCUUCGAAUAGAAAAUGAGGAAAUAAUAAAUAUAAUUAAAGCUGACGAGUAUAUUAGGCUGUUAAUUUGAAAUUUCUAGCCUAAACCUCCAUAGAUAUAUUCAACGAACAGGCCAUCUUUCUUUCACUUUGCAGCUUCUGUAUCUACAUCUCAUUUACUGGCUAUAUUUGUGAUGUUGAGUUUAUUUUUCAUGUGCUCAUGUUCAGGCAGAACUUCUCCAUUAGGUCCUAUGAGAUUGAGGCGGAUAGGAUGGCGUCUAUAGAGACACUGAUGAACCAUUUGCAGGUGAGAAUUUGUUACUUUUCAGGCGUGAUUGUUGUGAAUUAGUAUCGGGCAAUGAAACAGUCUGCAUUUGAUGCAGGAAACUGCACUUAACCAUGUGAAGACUGCUGGGCUGCUAGGUGAUGGAUUCGGCUCCACACCAGAGAUGAGUAAACGAAACUUGUUCUGGGUGGUUAGCCAAAGCAGGCCAUUGUCGAGCGUUAUCCAUGCUGGUAUGGUUUGCAGAAUUGCAUGUUGUUAUUUCAGUUUUCUAAUUGUCAUUUGAGCUUGAAUUAAGAUGUACCCCCUAGCUUUUGACAUCAUGUGGCUACUCUCGGAGACAUGCCAACAGUGUGGGGGCACAUAAUGAUUUUGAUUACAGCUUGUUUCCUUGGUGCUGGGUAUUGAGUAAUCAGUUGAAUGGAGUUUUCAAGUUGUUUGACAAUAAAUGUGAAAGGAAAGGUCCCUGGUCUUUUGUGCUGUUUGACAAUAACUUUUUGGAGGAGCGUGGUUAUAUGUCACUUCAGGCAGUUUGCAGACUUUAAUAAUUGAUACGGAUACCCUCAUUGAACCUCUUAAUAUAUUUUCUCAUGUUUCCUAAAAGAUAUUAUAAGUUUGUGUUUUGUGAGCUUAAGGCAGCCCCUUCCAUCUGGAUUCUACUGAUACGUGUUCUGAGUUUGCUUGUCUAUUCUGCUGCAGGGGUUAUAUUAAGGCAGCCCCUUCCAUCUGGAUUCUACUGAUACGUGUUCUUAUUUGCUUGAUUGGUGAUAUGCUAUAUAUUCUUGGCUGGUCCCAUGCACUUAUUGGUGGGCACAAAUUUUUAUGACAAACUUAUCAUUCGGAUUUCCUUCCUGCUUAAUUAGUUGGCAGCCUUCUUGUAUGUAUUAAGGGGUAAAAUAAAGUUGAUAUGGAACUGAUAGGAUUGGUAAAGAAACGAAAAAAAGAAGACAGUUUAGUAUACAAGUCCCUAGCACACAAGUGUUUUCACAUACACCAGUUAACUUUACAUUCACCUUUAUCAGAGUGCACCGAUCUCCAUUCUUGAGAACCAUGAACUGGCGAGCAUUGUGCUGGAUUACAAAAGGGAGUGUGGCCGGGAUAGUGUGCUGCAGUCACACACUACCGUGCGCACUGAUUGCAACAGCGAGUCUGGAGAAACAACCUUGCACUGUGAGCAUCUGGUGAGCCUUGAAUCAGGUCCGACCAUGGUGAAAGCCCGGACCAUGUGGAGGCCGAGUCUGGAGAAACAACCUUGCACUGUGAGCAUCUGGUGAGCCUUGAAUCAGGUCCGACCAUGGUGAAAGCCCGGACCAUGUGGAGGCCGAAGGGAACCAAGGCCCAAGAAACUGUGAUUCCAUCUUCAUUGUGAACUGUGUGAUGUUCCAAAUGGUGAUUUUGGCAGGAAAAAUUGGUAAAAAUCAUUGUGGCUAUCAGCAUCCUCUAUUGGAAGCAAAGCACACUAGGCAUACAUGAUGCUUUGUUAUAAUCUCAUACCAACGUGAGACCUAAGCUAAUUUAAACAUAAAGUGUCUGAAGAUAGAGGAGAUAUAAGGGUGCCAACGAUGGUGGUGGCGAGAAGUGGAGAUCGAAGAGGAAAGAAGCCUCCUGUGCAUGGUUUGUUGUUUCUAUUUUUCCUUUGAUUUCUUCUUCUUCCUAUGACAAAAUCUUGGGUUGCACAAAUGGUUGUUGUAAGUAUUGAUUUGUAGCUACUUCUGUAUGACGGGGAGCAGCCAUAUUCGUUCAGAGAAUUAAGCUCGUAUAUUGUAUUUAUUGAUAUUUAAUUUGAUAUUCUUCUCCUGGCUGAUAAAGCACGUUGAAACUUGGUAUCUGGGCCAAUGCCGACCAAUUCUUGGAGGAAUUUUGCAGUUUUUUUUGACUCGCAUAUAUUUUUUUUGACUCUCAUACAGCUUGGCGUGACCGAUGAGAGGUUGUGACAUCCUAUCAUGUUUUCUGUAGAAGUUGACUGAUCAUAAAGGAGAACAAAUUAUAGACCAUAAAGGAGAACAAGUUGUAGUUGACUGACCAUAAAGGAGAGCAAACUGUAGUUGACUGACCAUAAAGGAGAGCAAACUGUAGUUGACUGACCAUAAAGGAGAGCAAACUGUAGUUGACUGACCAUAAAGGAGAACAAAUUGUAAUAACAAUUGAAGAUUCCGUAACUAUGGGGGCGUUUUCUUCCACUGACUUAUUUUUAGCAUGUGUCACAUCGAAUGUUUAGAUACUAAUUAGGAGUAUUAAAUGUAGACUAUUUACAAAACCCAUUACAUAAGACGAAUCUAAAUGGCGAGACGAAUCUAUUAAACCUAAUUAAUCCAUCAUUAGCAAAUAUUUACUGUAGCAACACAUUGUCAAAUCAUGGACUAAUUAGGCUUAAUAGAUUCGUCUCGCCGUUUAGAUUCGUCUUAUGUAAUAGGUUUUGUAAAUAGUCUACGUUUAAUACUCCUAAUUAGUAUCUAAACAUUUGAUGUGACGGGUGCUAAAAAUAAGUCAGUGGAAGAAAACGGGACCUAUGGUUGGGGGCAGAUAUCCCAGUUCGCUGGUCUUCCUCUCGAGUCAACGACCGGAAUGUGUGGACGUUCAGAGCAACCAGAGAACAGAAUAUCUACACACGAUUGAUUGGAAUUUGGAAACUGCAUACCAGUAGCGCAAUGGCUCCUGCCAAGGAUCGCCUCCACAACCUUCUGGUCCUGCUCUUGUUCAUAGGUUGCCUCUUCAUAGAUGCUGCCGCCAAGCCUAACACCACAGCGCCUUGCCUCCCGGAUCAAGCUUCUUCCCUCCUCCGGCUAAAAGCUUCCUUCAUCGGUGACAACCUACCAUCAUGGCAAGCUGCAACAGAUUGUUGCCACUGGGAGGGCGUCACCUGCGACAUGGCCUUUGGAAGAGUCAUUUCUCUUGACCUCAGUGACAGUGAGUUCCAACUAGUGAGCAGGCGUCUUGAUCCUGCGCUCUUCAACCUCACCUCUCUCAGGAACCUCAGCCUUGCAACUGUUUACUUCAUUGGAAUCUCGCUCCCGGCCUUCGGGUUUGAGCGGCUCACGGAUAUCAUUUACCUCAACCUCUCUAAUACCUAUUUUACGGGUAAGAUCCCAAUUGGAAUUGCGUGCCUCAAGAACCUUGUGACCAUUGACUUGUCUUAUGAUUACGAAUUGUAUUUUGAACGGCCAAGUUUCCAAACCAUCAUGGCAAAUAUGAGCAAUCUGAGGGAGCUUUAUCUUGAUGGUGUGGGUUUACAGAACAUCGGAUCGAAUUGGUCCACUGUUUUAGCAGACUCUGUUCCCCAGCUACAGAUUCUUAGCUUGUCCCGCUGUGAUAUAUCAGGUUCGAUCCACCCUUCAUUCUCAAGGCUUCGCUCACUUACGGUGAUCAACCUCAGAUACAAUGAUGGACUCACCGGCAAAGUCCCGGAGUACUUUUCUGAACUAUCUUCCUUGACCAUUUUAGACAUAUCAGGAAAUCAAUUUGAAGGGCAAUUUCCAACAAAAAUAUUCCAGCUAAAAAGUUUGAGGACGCUUGAUUUGUCCGGUAACCCCAUGCUUUCUGUGAGAUUAAAUCUAGUAGAGACCAAUUUCUCUUAUGACACGUCAUCCUCGUUUGGCAAUCUGGAGUCUUUAAAGACAUUGGGGCUUAGCACGAUGGGCAUUGAUAAUGAACUCGCCUCUUUGAUAUCUGAGCUUCCAGCAUUGGAUGACCUGCGACUCUUUGGGUCAGGUUUGGAGAACCCGGUAUUAUCUUGGGUCAGCAAUCUUACCCAAUUGACAAACCUGCUGCUUGAUGGUUAUGACUUCUCUAAAUCGGUUCCCACUUGGAUCGGCAAAUUGACAAGGCUGGAAAGUUUGACGAUACGGGAUUCCAGUUUCUCCGUGCCAAUACCAUACCAGAUUAGAAAUCUUACUAAAUUGGCAGCGCUGGAGUUCUAUAGUUGCGACUUCUCGGAGCAAAGAAUGCCAUCAUGGAUAGGCAAUCUUACAAAGUUGACUUCUUUGAUCAUUGGACGUUGCAGUUUAUCUGGGCCAAUACCCUCAACAAUUGGGAACCUGAUCCAACUUGAAGAGUUGGCGUUCUGGCAUACUGACAUCAGCGGUGAGACUAUGUCCCAGUUACUUUCUUUCUAGAUACCUCCUUUUAUUUUGCAACUGUAGACAGAUCAUACACCUACUAUAUGACACGUCAUGCAUACACCGUUAAAAAAAUAAAAAUGAAUUUAAGUGAAGAAGAAAAUUUAACACUACCAAAUCAACAGAGUGACCUUCAGAAAACAAGAAAAAGGCUUUGGCUACUAAUUUUCGGCAAUGUUGAGAAAAGAAAAACCCUGAUAUUUUCACUUUGCGUCUAUGACCAAAUUUCCAUAGUUUAGCAGUUUGGAAGGUUAGAUGCCUUUAACACUAGUACACACGAGUCACGACUCAGGUCUUCUUUUCCUUCUUUUUUUCUCUCUUGACAUGAUUCAUUUCAGAUACUAUAUAAUACAGUAUUGGUCCGUUUAUAAAUAUACCAAGGAAUAUUAAUUUUUUUUUCGGACAGGCCUUUUUUAUUAUUUUGACCAGAUUUACAUGUAAAUGUUCUCUAACGAGAAAUCAACUUUAGUAUAUAUCAUUUGUAGAUCGAAACACUGGAUCUGUAAAAUAUAUAUUGAAUAUGUUGUGUUAACGUUGUUCGACUUUCUCCGGUCUAAGACCUCUUUGGAACAAAGGAACAACAAAAGAAAGGACUAGGUUUUGAAAAACCUGAGCGUGGUCUCUCUCUCCCUCUCUGUGACCAUGUUCGCGCCGUCACAUUGCUUUUUUUUUUUGGCUGAGCGUCGGUUUUCGCACUUGGCAAAGUCUUUGCCAAGUGCCCAAUAAAAAACACUCAGCAAAGAAACUUUUGCCAGCACUGUGUACGCCGUGUGCUGUAUGCCGAGUGUAACACUCAGCAAAGGCUUCGCCGAGUGUUUUUUGGCCUUUACCGUGUGACGUGGACACACGGCAAACUUCCAAAUUCUGGUAGUGUCUCAAACCUAAGCGUGGUCUGGAUUUUCUACUUGUUAUGAUUUGUGAAGGAAGUGGACCCUUUCUUGUGGAAUUGGAAUUGGAUGGUGCAUUCCCAAAUUCCAAAAUCCAAACAGUACUUUCCUUUCCUCCGGAACACAGGUACUUCAGUGUCCUUGCCCCGUCAGUGUGGUUGCUUCUUUAGGCUAGUCUCAAUGCACAAUUUUAUUGCACUGUUAUCAAAGCUGCAAACUUGGUAACUGUGCCUGUUAGAUUUUAUGGGGAUGAAACUUGUCUCUCAUUUCAUGAAACUCCAUCCUCUCUCUCCUCAUAAAGAGCUUGUCAAAUCAGAAAAAUUACUGAUGUGGUAUAGAAAUUAAUGCUGAUUAAACUUUUCAUAAAACUCCCACUGAGACUGGCCUUAGAUUGCAGCAACAUUCUGAUAUGUUUAGCCCCAAUGUAAUGAGAUGCUAAUUUGUUUCAAUUUCAUACUGGCGCUUUCAGUGUAAAAAAGCAUUAAUAAAGUCUGCUACCUUCUAACUUUUAGUCUGCAACAUUCUGACUGUUGGUAUUCUACCCUAACAUGCAGGAAAAAUUCCGAAGUCUUUGUUCGCUCUUCCAGUCCUGCAGCAGCUUCUUCUAAUUGGGAAUCAGCUUGUUGGCUCACUAGAAGACAUUCCUGCUCCUUUAUCGUCACCAUUGUGCUCCAUCGAUUUAAGUGGUAAUCAAUUGACAGGCCCAAUACCAAAAUCACUUUUUCAGCUCACGAAUCUUGAGCUACUCGGUCUUGGCUCGAAUAAAUUGACAGGCACAAUAGAACUUGGCUCUAUAUGGAGGUUGAAAAAUCUCACUUAUCUCAACCUGGGCAACAAUAUGAUAUCACUCGUAGAAAAAGAAGGUGAUACGAUAUUCUCGUAUUCCCUUAAAAUUCAGACCUUAUACCUUGCAUCUUGCAACCUUACAAAAUUUCCGGAACCAUUAAAAUAUCUUGACACUAUUAAAUAUCUCGACCUUUCUAAUAACCAAAUCGAAGGGGUCAUACCAAGUUGGGUGUGGGAGAAACCCCUGGUUAGGUUGAACCUCUCACACAACAUGUUUACUACUUUAGAGAAGUCUCCUACUGUUCAGAUGGCACAUUUAGCUUUUCUUGAUCUCAGUCCUAAUAGAAUUCAAGGAAGCAUACCAAUACCAUCAACUCCAUCCGACCUGAUUCUGUUGGAUUACUCAAAUAAUAACUUCUCUACCAUUGAACCUAACUUUGGCAGGUAUCUUACAAAUGCCAUCUACAUCAAUUUGUCAAAAAAUAAAUUAAGUGGCCAUGUACCACUUUCAUUUUGUAGUUUAAACAAACUUUGGCUCAUGGACCUAUCUUACAAUAACUUUAGCGGACCAAUUCCAUCAUGUCUUAUGGAAAGAGUUGACCUUAGCAUAUUGAAGUUAAGAGGAAACAAAUUACAUGGCGUGCUACCUGAAAAUAUUAGAGAAGGAUGUAAGCUUCAGACAAUUGAUUUCAAUGAAAAUCAAAUUGAAGGUGCGCUACCUAGAUCACUAGCAAAUUGCCAAGACU
rnacentral:lncRNA from 1 species